CCCUUAGAUGUCCUGGGCCGCACGCGCGCUACACUGACAUGUUCAACAAGUUUCUCCUAGUUCGACAGGACUGGGAAAUCUUUGAACGCAUGUCGUGAUAGGGAUAGAUCAUUGCAAUUAUUGAUCUUGAACGAGGAAUUCCUAGUAAACGCGAGUCAUCAGCUCGCAUUGAUUACGUCCCUGCCCUUUGUACACACCGCCCGUCGCUCCUACCGAUCGAAGAGUUAGGUGAAUUGUUUUGAUCGAUAAGAUUUGACUAUGGUCAACUCUCGUUGUGAAAUUCUGUGAAUCUGACUGUUUAGAGGAAGGAAAAGUCGUAACA
rnacentral:rRNA from 1 species